rnacentral:rRNA from 1 species
UGGGGAAUUUUGGACAAUGGGCGCAAGCCUGAUCCAGCAAUGCCGCGUGCAGGAUGAAGGCCUUCGGGUUGUAAACUGCUUUUGUAUGGAACGAAACGGCGGGCUCUAAUACAGUUUGCUAAUGACGGUACCGUAAGAAUAAGCACCGGCUAACUACGUG